rnacentral:rRNA from 1 species
UACGUAGGGUGCAAGCGUUGUCCGGAAUUAUUGGGCGUAAAGAGCUCGUAGGCGGUGUGUCACGUCGGCCGUGAAAACCUGCAGCUUAACUGUGGGCGUGCGGUCGAUACGGGCAUCACUGGAGUUCGGCAGGGGAGACUGGAAUUCCUGGUGUAGCGGUGAAAUGCGCAGAUAUCAGGAGGAACACCGGUGGCGAAGGCGGGUCUCUGGGGCCGAUACUGACGCUGGAGGAGCGAAAGCCGUGGGGAGCAAACAGG